rnacentral:lncRNA from 1 species
GAAAAUUAAAAUGGAAAAUUAUCAGAACGGAAGAAUGAACCAUUUUCAUCCAUGACUUCACAUGGACUGUUUGAGUAUAGAGCCAGGUGAAACUGAAUUGUGAAUGAAAGUAUCUAGAAAUCCCAGAUGAGACUUUUAAAUCCAAGUAAGUUUGAAGCCACUUGAACUUUUCUAAGAUUCACUCCAGCAGCUUAUUUGCACUGAACACAGAAGUCUGAGGCAAGAAUGAGAAGAGACUAAAACGCACCAUAGGUCUAAGCCAGAAACUUUGAACUCAGGCAAGGAGAAAAGUAUCAUCUGCAGUGCAUCAGGGAAUGAGACCAGGAGUCUACUGUAAAUAGGCUCUCACUAAGAUCAGAGGUAAAAUUUUCCUAAGUUUCUUCCUCCUUAGGGGAGGAAGUGUUCCCUUGUCUUUGGAUAUUCAGGAAAAACAUAGGAAAAUGUGAAAAUGUUUAUGAGCAAAAUAAUUCCUCGCAUAGGAAGUCCUGCAGACUGCAUUUCACCUGAAACACUUUCCUCAAACUUGAGAAGCUGCGAUGUUCAGUCAGACUCUGAGCCAUAGCGUGGAACCAUGCAAAGGGGAUCCACGCUAGCAUAUAAUAUCACUGAUUGUGCAACUGUUGGAACUGAUGGGUAAUGCAGUAACUUCUGUUUUCUUCUCCCCUUUACUGCUUGUAAGUUGUAAGCUGUGAAUAACAGGAAGCUUGUACACAUUUGUAGGUACUGCAAGAACACUCUCGUGUUGAAGGUUACAUUUACUUAUCCAUUUUGAUUUAUUCAUCUGUAUCAAAACUAAAGAAAAAUUCAACACGUGUUAGCAUGUGGGAAAACUUGUUUUAUACAAAACUAUUUUGAAUUGUUUAUAGCCACUCAUUCUUGAAUCUGUGAUUUGAUCCAUUUGUAUACAAUUCAUUUCUAUUUAGCUUGGAAAGAGUACAAGAGUAAAACUUCUUGCAGGCUGCAUACAAUCAUGACAUCAUCCAAGAUUUCACUUUGAGUCAGCAACAGCAUUGCUGGGUCCUCUCUGGAACCAGUGCAGGUUGAACAUAAUUCACUACAUGACUGAAUGACUUCUAUUUUAUUCUGCAAGGCUUGUCCCAUGGAAAAUCUAGUGAGGAGGAUCUGAAUGUUCCGUUCUGUUUCCUGAUCUGGUGGGAAUAGAGAUGCAGACCCUAUCUAGUCCAAACAAUGACACAUGCUUUUCUAGGGAAUAUCAAAUCCAUUUUCAUUUGUGCACAGUUAUGAUGAUAGAGCAUAUUAAAAUUGAAGCAAUCAGUUCAUUAUUAGCUCUGACAAUGUGUUAAGGAUAAUGCUAAACAAAACUAAAGGAGCAGAUUUUUCAGACAUGCUGUCAUGCAUGACUUAAUCUGUAUGAGGUAUUGCUGUGGCAAUCAACUUCCAUGAUAGAUCAGCUGUAUUUUUCAAAGUCUGCUAUAAUUUUAUUUAUAUAAGAUAAACAUGCAUUGUGGACUCUAGCAAGUACAUAUACCUUUUUUUAAUACUGGUAUCAAGAUUAUUUUUAUACACUAUUUCAUGGCCCAUAGCACCUUUAUGACCUGUCUUCGGUACUGCUGCCCUGCACAAUGGUUAUAGCACGUCCACUCUUAAAAUGGUUACCA